UAAGGAAUAUUGGACAAUGGAGGCAACUCUGAUCCAGCCAUGCCGCGUGAAGGAAUAAGGCCCUAUGGGUUGUAAACUUCUUUUAGACGGGACAAAACCCCUUUACGUGUAAAGGGUUGAUGGUACUGUCAGAAUAAGCAUCGGCUAACUUCGUGCCAGCAGCCGCGGUAAUACGAAGGAUGCAAGCGUUAUCCGGAAUUAUUGGGUUUAAAGGGUGCGUAGGCGGACUAAUAAGUCAGUGGUGAAAGCCUGCAGCUUAACUGCAGAAUUGCCAUUGAUACUGUUAGUCUUGAGUACAGUUGAGGUAGGCGGAAUGUGUCAUGUAGCGGUGAAAUGCUUAGAUAUGACACAGAACACCGAUUGCGAAGGCAGCUUGCUAAGCUGUAACUGACGCUGAGGCACGACAGCGUGGGGAGCAAACA
rnacentral:rRNA from 1 species